rnacentral:rRNA from 1 species
CCUACGGGUGGCAGCAGUGAGGAAUAUUGGUCAAUGGGCGCGAGCCUGAACCAGCCAAGUAGCGUGAAGGAUGACUGCCCUACGGGUUGUAAACUUCUUUUAUAAAGGAAUAAAGUGAGGCACGUUUGCCUUUUUGUCUUUACUUUAUGAAUAAGGAUCGGCUAACUCCGUGCCAGCAGCCGCGGUAAUACGGAGGAUCCGAGCGUUAUCCGGAUUUAUUGGGUUUAGAGGGAGCGUAGAUGGGUUGUUAAGUCAGUUGUGAAAGUUUGCGGCUCAACCGUUAAAUUGCAAUUGAUACUGGCAGCCUUGAGUACAGUUGAGGUAGGCGGAAUUCGUUGUGUAGCGGUGAAAUGCUUAGAUAUAACGAAGAACUCCGAUUGCGAAGGCAGCUUACUAAACUGCGACUGACAUUGAUGCUCGAAAGUGUGGGUAUCAAACAGGAUUAGAUACCCGAGUAGUC